CGCACGGGUGAGUAACACGUAUCCAACCUGCCGUCUACUCUUGGCCAGCCUUCUGAAAGGAAGAUUAAUCCAAGAUGGCAUCAUGAGUUCACAUGUCCGCAUGAUUAAAGGUAUUUUCCGGUAGACGAUGGGGAUGCGUUCCAUUAGAUAGUAGGCGGGGUAACGGCCCACCUAGUCAACGAUGGAUAGGGGUUCUGAGAGGAAGGUCCCCCACAUUGGAACUGAGACACGGUCCAA
rnacentral:rRNA from 1 species